GAAAUGUUGUGUAAUGAUAUUGAUGUUACAAAGUUUUGGAGUCCAGUAGCCAGAUCAGCAAUGUUUUCUGCCAGAGGUAGCCACUCGUUACCCAGGUGGUUGAGCCCCUGAGCCUUGAGUGGCCUUCUGGUCUUAAGCAGAGAUGGGAGACUGGAACAGAAAGAUGAUAAUCGUAGUGAGGCAAGCCGAGGUCAGUGGGAAGGAGAAGCAGCAAAGUCAAAACAGUCC